AGCAGCCGCGGUAAUUCCAGCUCCAAUAGCGUAUAUUAAAGUUGUUGCAGUUAAAAAGCUCGUAGUUGAAUUUCGGGAUCAAUAUGUUGGUCGUGCCUUGGUACGUACUGGCAUUAUCGAUUCCUACCUUCUGAAGAACCUCGAUGUCAUUAAUUUGGUGUCUUGGGGAAUCAGGACUGUUACUUUGAAAAAAUUAGAGUGUUUAAAGCAAGCUCGCGCUUGAAUACAUUAGCAUGGAAUAAUGAAAUAGGACGUUUGAUUCUAUUUUGUUGGUUUCUAGGAUCGACGUAAUGAUUAAUAGGGAUAGUUGGGGGCAUUAGUAUUCAAUUGUCAGAGGUGAAAUUCUUGGAUUUAUUGAAGACUAACUACUGCGAAAGCAUUUGCCAAGGAUGUUUUCAUUAAUCAAGAACGAAAGUUAGGGGAUCGAAGACGAUCAGAUACCGUCGUAGUCUUAACCAUAAACUAUGCCGACUAGGAAUCGGAUGAUGU
rnacentral:rRNA from 1 species